rnacentral:lncRNA from 1 species
CGUUGAUCCUCGUCAUCUCUCGGAGCUGGUUUAGAAGUUUGGCACGAAACAACGAAUUUAAAUUCUCGACAAAAUUCUACACAUAACGGUUCCUAAAAAAUGUAUAGUGUAUUUUCCGGAAUGUGGAGGAAAUCGAGUCAUUUGGGAUUCUCAUCUUGACUUCCUGAGCUCUCAACUAUUCUGUACAUCACAAUACAGUAUGCCUUUUAACGCCUCUUCCAUUAAUGGGAAACUGAUGGACCUUUCGUGAACUUAUCUUUUUUGCAUCAUAUUUCUGUUUCUUUAAUAAAAGGGUACGUGUGUUGUAAGAAUACUUUGUUUCUUUCAUUUAAAAAAAAGAAAAAGUGCUAAUAAAUUAAAAAA